UACGGGGGGGGGCUAGCGUUAUUCGGAAUCAUUGGGCGUAAAGGGCGCGUAGGCGGCGCGGUAAGUCAAAGGUGAAAUCCCUCGGCUCAACUGAGGAACUGCCUUUGAAACUGCCGUGCUUGAGUCCGGGAGGGGGUAGCGGAAUUCCCAGUGUAGCGGUGAAAUGCGUAGAUAUUGGGAGGAACACCAGUGGCGAAGGCGGCUACCUGGACCGGUACUGACGCUGAUGCGCGAAAGCGUGGGGGAGCAAACAGG
rnacentral:rRNA from 1 species